CGUAGGUGGCAAGCGUUGUCCGGAUUUAUUGGGUUUAAAGGGUGCGUAGGCGGCUUUGUAAGUCAGUGGUGAAAUACUCCAGCUCAACUGGAGAGGUGCCAUUGAUACUGCAGAGCUAGAGUACUGAUGAGGUAGGCGGAAUGGACGGUGUAGCGGUGAAAUGCUUAGAUAUCGUCCAGAACACCGAUAGCGAAGGCAGCUUACUAAAGAGUAACUGACGCUGAGGCACGAAAGUGUGGGGAUCAAACAGGAUUAGAUACCCUGGUAGUCCACACUGUAAACGUUGAUCACUAGAUGUUGGCGAUACACUGCCAGCGUUCCAGCAAAAGCGAUAGGUGAUCCACCUGGGGAGUACGCCCGCAAGGGUG
rnacentral:rRNA from 1 species